GAAUGAAUGAGCUCCUCAAAUAAAUAAAGUGGCUGUGAGCGUGAGGAUCUGCGGCAAACUGUGCAGGACUGCUUCAUCUACAGAAAUCCAGGUAGCAGCCGUAAAUUAGCAGUAUGCAGAGAGUUUCCAGACGUGGGGGUUUGAUGCGACGGGAGGCUGAGGAGACGCCAGUCAAGACCGAACGCCCACGCAGAGGACGUCUAAUUAGACAUAUUUGAAGUGAGAACCUCUGUGUGGGAGGACGAAGGGUGUGGAGCAGCUGCGAAAAUCAAUCUUUCAAAUGAGACCAAGGCGCUGCAGUCGCUGCUGGGAAAGUUUGCAUUCAAAUGCAACAGAAAACUGGGUGUUGGAUAAAUGCUAAAACUGCAAUCAGAAACCUGAAGCAAAACUUCUCAUUUGCACCAGAAAAAAGUGGAAAACAUUAAACCAGAACCUGCAUCCCUAAACCAGAUACCUGUUCAUUGGUUCUUUGCAUGAGUUUGACACCUGAAUUCAGAAAAAUAAAGACACUAACUGGGAGUAAAAUGCUUCUUUAAAGUGAUGCCAUAGAAGAACCAUUUAAGGUGGUGUUUCUGCUAACAAUUCUGAAAAAAAAAAAAAGUGCCUUAAAGAUGCAUUAAAUAGCUUCCAUUUUCAAUCAGAUUAG
ensembl:lncRNA